AGAGCAGAAUCCACAUGGAGAACAGUGGGAGGAGCGAGAGCUGAGGAAGCCGAGCUGGUGGAGAUAACUUUUCAAGAGAGUUUGGCUCUGAAGGGGGAGAGUGAGCUGGGACAAGCUGCUGUAACAAAGUCCCACAAACUGGGUGGCCUAAAACAACAGAAAUGUAUCCUGUCACUGUUGUGGAGGCUGGAAUUCUGAAAUCAAGAUGUCAGCGGAACCAUGCUCCCUCUGAAGGCUCCAGGAGAGAGCUCUUCCUUGCCUCUUCCUAGCUUUGGCGGUGGUUGGCAAUGCUUGCUGUUCCUUGGCUUGUAGCCCCUGCCUCAAUCAUCAUGUGGUCUUCUUCCCACUGUGUGUGUCUGUCUUCACAUGGUCUUCUUAGAAAGACGCUGUUACUGGAUUUAGGACCCCUUAUAAUCCAGUCUGAUCUUAUUUUAUUCACAUCUGCAAAGACGCUAUUUUCAAAUAAGGUCACAUUCACAGAUACCAGAAGUUAGGGCUUGAACAUAUCUUUUGGGGAGACAUAAUUCUAUCCAUUAUCAUUAAGACAUUUAGAAAUGGUUGUAGAGAGGGAGAGAAAUGUCCGAGCAUGCCCAGCGCUGUCACGGGCCCAUGGGGACUGGUGAAGAUAAACCAAUAGUGAGAGUAUGCUGCGGCAUCAGCUGCUCUCCCACUUGCUCCUCUCUGCUGACCGGCAUCCUUGGGCAGAGCUGGGGCACCCCAGCCCUCUCCUGCUGCAGGGCAGGUUUCCCUCCCACAAGAACAGAACCUUGUGACCUCUCUUGACUCUUCCUCCCUUCCUGCCUCAGCCUCCAUCUCUGCCUCCCAUUCAGUCCCUUUCUCUGCCCCAAGGUACAUGAAGAACUCUUGAAGACAGGAGCUGCAGAGCUGGCCCCACAGCACCAGAGAUGUCACAGAAGAGCAGAAUUCCAGCCCUCCAUGGCACAUGGGCUACAUCUGCACUAUUUUGUUCAGAGCUCCAAGAAGCAGGUGCAUUGGGAUUUUCACCAAAGAACGAAAGGAAUAAACCCAUCUCCCUAUUUUUAACCCCCCAGAAGAAGCCUUAUUCUCUCCUUUCUGGAAUGUCAGGACCAGUGUCAUUUUGUCCAGGCUGCAUUGACCUCUUUGCUGGACCCCGGGCAUAGGGAGCCCUUGCUGCUUCUCCACCCACCAGUGCUGAGCUCCGGGGGUGUUUGCCUUGCAGGUCCAAGGUGAGAAUGUAAACACUGCAAUUCCUCUGAAAACUGGCUGGAACCUCCUCCAGGGAGGAAGGGUUGCUCAUGGGCUGGCCAGGCUCCCAAACAUCAUACACAGCAACCCGGAGCUCCAACUUAACACAGCUUGGGGCAGGUCCUCAAAUGACCUUCCGUUUCUUGUCUGCCCAUCUGAGAGGACCAUUCCAUUCCAAACAACAUUCCUUUGAUAAAAGUGGUUACACACUGUAAACAUCAAUGAGCCAGGAACAUUCUCCGGUGCAACAGGAUUCUGAUAAAGCAGUCCUAUUUUGCAAAACCUUCCAGUGUGAAACAUCCUCCCCACAGCAAGCAGGGAAAUUCCUGGGAUGCCACAACAUUGGGCAGAGUGUCCAGGGCCCCAGGGAAGGAGCAGAAAGUCUAGAGGUGGAGCUCCCAUUGUGGGCAGAGGGACCUGAGUUUUCAAUCAUCUGUUCAUCAGUCACUCACUCAACAAAUAUUUGCUGAACAUGUCCCAAGCGCCAGGCUCUGAUGGAGUCACUGGAAAUGCAGUGUUUCCACAUGACUGCAAAGCUCCCCUGACUUUCAAAAAGCAGCAAUGAUUUCCUCUCCCCACACAGUCCAGGUUGACAGUCGGGUGCAAUAUCCACACGCCUCUCUACCUCACUCCCUCUGUGAGUCUGGAUGUGUUCUUCUUCCUCUCCAGCCCCCUGGGCCCUCAUUCUGUUGGCUUUUCUGCUGUCACUCUCUGUUCGCAGGUAUCUCUUCUUGAGUCUGUUUCUGGGUCUCUCAGUCUCUAUUCUUCAAGUCUCCCUUUGUGUCACCAAGUGCUUCCCAGCCUAGCCACUCCUCUACCUCUCCAUCAGUCUGCCUUACUUCCAAUCAAUUCAUCCCCAUUUUUUUCUCCUUCCCUCUUCUGUUUCUUCUCCUUAAGUGACUGUUGAUACAGAACUAGAUACAUUUUUCUUAGGUUGGUGGAAUAGACUUUCACAUUCUCUGGUGUUUAGUUCUAAAAUUGAUUGAAAAAUGUUUGUAUUCUUUAGUGUUGUCUGAAUUUCUUAUAAGAGUAUGUGUAAUUCUUUAAAACUGUUUAUUAAAAUACGAUGCCUAUAUUAGUCCAUUUUCA